rnacentral:rRNA from 1 species
CGCCCGCUCAGAAACUUAAAGGAAUUGACGGGGGCCCCGCACAAGCGGUGGAGCAUGUGGUUUAAUUCGAAGCAACGCGAAGAACCUUACCAGGCCUUGACAUGCAGAGAACUUUCCAGAGAUGGAUUGGUGCCUUCGGGAACUCUGACACAGGUGCUGCAUGGCUGUCCGUCAGCUCGUGUCGUGAGAUGUUGGGUUAAGUCCCGUAACGAGCGCAACCCUUGUCCUUAGUUACCAGCACGUUAUGGUGGGCACUCUAAGGAGACUGCCGGUGACAAACCGGAGGAAGGUGGGGAUGACGUCAAGUCAUCAUGCCCCUUAUGUCCAGGGCUUCACACAUGCUACAAUGGCCAGUACAGAGGGCUGCGAGACCGUGAGGUGGAGCGAAUCCCUUAAAGCUGGUCUCAGUUCGGAUCGGGGUCUGCAACUCGACCCCGUGAAGUCGGAGUCGCUAGUAAUCGCAGAUCAGCAACGCUGCGGUGAAUACGUUCCCGGGCCUU